GACCACUCAAGCUUAGCUUGGUAUUGGGGCACGCGGUUCCGCGGCCCUCAAAAACAGUGGCGGCGCCGGUGGGCUCUAAGCGUAGUACAUACUCCCGCUAUAGAGUUCCCCCGGUGGCUCGCCAAAAUCCCCCAAUCUUCUCAGG
rnacentral:misc_RNA from 1 species